GCCAAUGAUGACAAAUCAUAAAUUGACUGAAAUUCAAGUUUUUAAUAUUUGCCAUGGUGUUGAAAUUCUUGGACCAUAACGGUCUGAGGC